rnacentral:lncRNA from 1 species
UCUCUUUAGCAUCCGGCGCUUUCUGAGUGCGCCCUGUACAGGUGCCAGGUUAGGAUGCAUGGAUAAAAAGGGACCAGUUUCUCCCGUUGGCUGCAGUCACGUAAACCCGACCCUGAGUGGCUGAGGGCCAGGGCACAGUGGCUCACCGCUACACUGAUCUGCAUCACUACAUUUUAUGUGACUAUUUGCUUGCUCGUGUUGCCCACUGAUGGUGGCGGCCCCAGUAGUUCCUGACAAACGCUAGGCUUAAAUAUAUGUAUGAUGUGUGGACUAAGUGUGUGCCCCAUCUCUGGAUUCAUUUGUGCUGCUGUCUCUGUGGUGCAGACAUAGUCCUUAGGCUGCACUUUGAGGCUCAUUUUCCUUCCUGGAGCCCUCGUCUUUCCCUUCAUUGUAUGGGAAAAACUCAAAGAGAAGUUUUUGGAGCUUUGAAACAGGUGCUUGGAGCCACAGCAGAAGCCACCAUACCCAGGACUUGUUCUCGGCUCUCCACUCCUAAAAAUGUCUGCAGGGGCGUCCCCUUAUCUGCGAUCCGAGGAAGGACGAUUUCUCCCUAGCCACCCCAGCAUAGCUCUUUAGUGACUCUGGCCUACGUGGGCUCCACUGGCAUACUGGCUUUGUAUGCUGGCAUGCCAGAACACAUGAUCGAGCAGAGACCACUAACAUUACUGCCCAGCACAGCUGAGUGAAUUUCUUCCUUCACACUCUAAGGACAGGACCGCAGCAUGGAAAAAGAAAACUGAAAGUUCAGUCCAUCUCCAGUAGCAUCUCAGGGUCCAGAAUGAGCCAGCAGAGGACUCACUGUGAAGUCCAUCCAGGUCACUCUACUAUGACUCCGUUUCCUAGGAAGUGACUCCGAGACUCACUCAAUGAAGGAAAUCCAGUCUGAAGAAGCCUGAAGGAUUGAUGUGGUUUGAAUAACGCCUCCCCCAUAGGCUUAUAUUUGGAAGUUUAGUCACCAGGCACUAUUUGAGAAGGAUUGGGAGCUGUGGCCUGAUAAAGUGGUUUUGGCUUUGUUGGAGAAAGCAUGCCAUUGGGGUAGGAUUUGGGGUAUAAAAAAGUCCAUAUCAGGCCCAAUCUCCCCCGCCCCCAUCUGUUUGCCUGAGGAUCAAGAUGUAGCUCUCAGCUACUGCUCUAGCACCAUGUGUACUGCCAUAGUAACUACCAUGAUGGUAAUGGACUAAGCCUCUAAAACUAUAAGCAAGCCCCCCAUUAAAUGCUUGUUUUUCUACAAAAAAAAAAAAAAAAA